rnacentral:lncRNA from 1 species
CGUGGAGUGUCCCAUUGCGGUCUGACUCCAUCCAGUGCCUCGUCCGAUCGCAACGCCCGCCUCUUUCGCCCCGCCCACUUUCAUUCGUCACGCCCAUUCUCUGCAAUAGUCCCCCCGCCCACUUUCAUUCGUCACGCCCAUUCUCUGCAAUAGUCCCCCCGCCCCACCUCUUCCGACUGCGACGCUCCGCCCCCUCUCAUUCUCACUCUUCCCCAAAUCAUGGCGUCGUGCUUUCCGCUGCCGAACGACUUCUCCGUCGAUGGGCUCGAUGUUGGCUGCUCAACGCAGGAUGCGUUUCCUCAUCUCGACUUCUUAGACCUUGAUCUGGGUUCCAUUGGAUUGGAUGUGGACUCUGUCCUGCUGGGGCUACCUUGGGAUGGAGAGGAAGAGGGGGAAAGUGAUGUGAUGCUUGAAGACUGCAGAGAAGGACAUCCUGAACAUGUACCUGCGUAUCAGAUGGAAAGCAUUUCAUGUCCAUCUUCCCCUUCAUCACCUUCUCACUCCUUGGAAGCUUCAAUUACCGAUGAGCUCCUCAAACCCACACCCACUUGCCUGGGGACAACACGUCGCUGUCGAGCCUCUUCGGCACGAAAGCCUUUGACAGCUCAUCGCGUCCAAGAUGAAGACGACAAUGACUCUGACAAUGCGGAUGUUGGACAACAGUUCGACAGUCUUUCUCCUUGCCUUGUUCGACCGGCUUUACUCUCACCCGUACAACGCCUUCGCUACUUCCAUGGUUACUGCCGUUCCCUCUCACCCCUGGACUCUGCCAGCUGUGGUGUCCAAGUCUCACCACGACGUCCGGGCCCGAUUUUGGGACAGCUUUUGUGCUGCGGCGUCGCUCUGCUCGACAAGGGGAGGCCGUAUAAGUUGCCAGCAAGCCCUGUUUCCACGGAAACUCAAAGCUGCCAUGCAGUGAGUGACCGAAUGAUGGAAUUUGGGGGAGGGUUUAUGGAUUGCGAGGAUGAAGAGGAUGAUCAUCGCUGUGGAGAAAAAGACCUUUGGUUUUGUUCUCGAGGAUUCCACGACGAAGAAGAAGAGGAAAAGUAUCGCAGUUGUUGGCUGGAGAGUGAAAAACACUUUAACAAAGCAGUUAAUGCUUUUCAAAUGCUUAACGGUGGUGGUAAGUGUAUAUUUGGAGCCAAGGCUGGCAAGAGCACAGAGAAGUCGUUGAAUGAAAUGGACCUGGCAUGUUGCUGCUUGGGUUCAAACCUCAGUACUGGACCAGUUUGUGAGACUGUGGUGAAUAAGAAGAAGAAUAAGAAGAAGAGCAAGUCAAACAGACAAGGUGACUUCAAGAAUUUAUCCCUCAGCGAUAGCAUACCUGCAAACAGGCUGUUUCAAUGUGGUGCCGUGAUGGGAAGAAAUGAGCCUCUGGAGAGGUUUCUACAAGUCGAGCUUCCAACAACCGCAGGGUUGACUCCCCCGACAACACCUCCACACAGACCCGAAGACCUUGCUUUCCCUUUGCCUGUGGAACGGGCACUCCAUCAGUGCAGACCUCGCUUUGGAGAUCACAAUUACUGCCAAAGGGUCGUGACCCACACUGAGGGGCAGCAGGAUGAUGCUUCCGGCAAUAAGCGGCGGGCUAUGUCCGGGUCACAUAGCUCACACCAUGCCACCCGUCCUGCCUAGAGAACGAUUCAUAGGGUUGGGGUUCUUGCAUUGUCUACCGCUUACUGGAUUUUGGUGCUGUUUUAAAUGGCCACUUCAUUUUUUUAAUUUUAAAUAUUCUGAUUCAGACUGUCUCAUUGUGUUUGUUUAUCUCAAGGUAUCCGUCCGGGUAUGUCAUCAUGCAUCUCUGUAAUGCCUUACUGUGGUCCUAAGCUUUCUCCUAUUCUUGCUUCUCUCCUUCUCUUUGUGUCGAUACCACUCGGGUUGUGAAAUUGAUCUGCACCCUUAUUUAGUGAUCGGCUUGGAGUUCCACGUGGAGGUCAUAUCACUGAUUGUCGAUGUAUCGAGUUGUUUAUCCUUAUCCAAUCGUGGAUUUAGAGUCAGGAUGUUCUGAAUGUUGAGUGGUUAGAUUUGUUACUUGCAAAUGUAACCACACCCUGCUUUCCACAAAUUAUGACACGAUGUUCUAAAAUAUAUUAUAAAGAUGUUUGAAUGUACCGUAUUGCCCUAAAGUUGUCUUAGGCACUUACCUGAUCGACCCAGAUUCCAAUUGCUCUUUGUUUUUAAUUCUGCUUUUGUUAGAUUUUUAUUAUUCUUUUUAAAUCAAUGGAAUCCAUUGCUGCAUCUGAUGCUGGAAACCUGUCUUUCACAAACCAUGUGCAAAAUUCUUAGCUUUUCAUUACAUGCUCCAAAUAUAUUGAAAAAGAAAAGUCCCAAAGAUUUUUUUUAAUGCCUCUGCAACUAAUAGCCAUAAUAAUCAUGUUUACGUAUUGUCCGUCCGUUUAUCAAGUUUUUUUUUUUGUUUGUUUGUUUUUUUUGUUACCACGAUAACUUGUGAACCUUCUGAAGGAAUUUCAACCAAACUUGGCAAAAGUAUGGACUGCAUGACAAAAAUGAACCGAUUUGAUUUUGGUUUCGGCAGGUCAAAAGUCAAAGAUCAUGUGACCUUUAAUUGAAAAUCUUUGUUACUGCAAUAACGUGUGAGCCACUGAAAGGAUGUCAACCGAACUUGGCUAAAGUAUGGACUGUAAUACAAAGAUGAAUUUAUUUGAUUUUGGGUUCAAAGGGCCUACGAUCAUGUGCCCUUUGAAAAUCAUUUUGCAGACAACUCGAGUUAGAAGUAUCUCAUGUUUAGAUAAGCUCUUCCACUUAUCUCUCUUUUUCUCUCUCGUGCCCCCUCGGUUAACCUUCACCUUCUCAUGUGACCUUAAAUUGAGAAUAACUGAAACAGUGGGUUGAUAUAUAAUGUGGGCAGAGACAUAUCCAUCGACACAUUCGCCCACGCUGUUUUUGUUUGCUUUCUCUCACCUUCACCCUAUGCUUUUCAUCAUGAUUUUUUUUUCUUCCAAGGGUUUACUUGAAAUAUAGAAACAUUUUCUGAGCAACAGUUCAAUUAAAUCUCACCUCUUCCACAAUUCGUUUCCUACAUUAGAGUUGUCAGCGGAAGUCGUUUCUUAGGAUUACAACAUUGUUUGCCAUGGUGGUUAUAGACCAAGAUGAGUCCUCGUAAGGAGAAAUGGUUAAAAAAAAAAACCCAUGGGAGACAGGCAUCACCACAUCGCCCUCAUUAAUAAAAUGUCUACAAUUGGAAUCGAGACCACCCAACUCAUGAGUGUCCAGCUGCCACCUUGUAUCCAUAGGAUGCAGCUGAUAUCCCUUCUCUAAAAAGGAUAACCAUAAGUUAGUCUUGUUGAAUAAUUUAGUAUUGUUUUAGCAGUGCUGAGAUAUUAGAUGAUCCUUCAUCCUCAGAAAAGUUCAUGAGCAGCACCUGGUUGCUGUUUGCUUCAUUCCUGGGAGCAUGGCAAGCACUAGAGUGACAGUUUAUAGUUUGGUCACAAAUCAAACCUCGACUAGACAGCUCAUAGGUAAGUACAUAACCUCUGAAUUACCCUUUAGCUCUGUCCUUGGAUAAUGAAAUUAUGUCUCCUGAUAUUUGGCAGAGGGAAGCAUGACAAUAAUUUCUCACCUUGACUUAUCUUUGGAUAAUCUUAUCUUUGGAUAAUGCCUGGUGUUGGCGUAGUGGUUAGGGCAGCGGCUUGGGACCCAAAAAGUCCUGAGUUCAAGCCCCGUUGGGCCACUGAAUGUAUAUAUG